AGGUCAAGCUAAUAAGGGCAAAGGGUGGAUGCCUUGGCACCAGAAGCCGACGAAGGACGUGGUAAGCUGCGAAAAGUCUCGGGGAGCUGCAAGCAAGCUUUGAUCCGGGAAUGUCCGAAUGGGGAAACCCACUUGGAGUAAUGUCCAAGUAUCUAGUACUGAAUAAAUAGGUACUAGAAGGAAAACCAGGGGAACUGAAACAUCUAAGUACCCUGAGGAAGAGAAAGAAAAAUCGAUUCCCUAAGUAGCGGCGAGCGAAAGGGGAAAAGCCCAAACCGGGUGCUCAACUGAACUUUAGUACAGUUGAGAAGCUUAACAGAGUUGAGUUGAGCAUCCGGGGUUGAGGACAUAGAAUAAAUAAGGCAAGAAUGUAGAAGAAGAGGUCUGGAAAGGCCCACCGAAGAGGGUAAAAGUCCCGUAAGCGAAACAGGAAAGUCUUAAACUAUGCUCCAGAGUACCACGGGACACGAGAAACCCUGUGGGAAGCAGGGGGGACCACCCCCCAAGGCUAAAUACUAACUGGUGACCGAUAGCGCAUAGUACCGUGAGGGAAAGGUGAAAAGAACCCCGGGAGGGGAGUGAAAGAGAACCUGAAACCCUUUGCUUACAAACUGUGGGAGCCCUAUAUAGGGGUGACCGCGUACUUUUUGUAGAACGGGCCAACGAGUUAUGGUAAGAAGCAAGGUUAAGUACCUAAGGUACGAAGCCGAAGCGAAAGCGAGUCUUAAAAGGGCGAAAAAGUUAACUACCAUAGACCCGAAACCGGGCGACCUACCCAUGGACAGGAUGAAGCGGAAGUAAAAUUUCGUGGAGGUCCGAACCGAUUGACGUUGAAAAGUCACCGGAUGAGCUGUGGGUAGCGGUGAAAUUCCAAUCGAGCCCGGAGAUAGCUGGUUCUCGCCGAAAUAGCUUUAGGGCUAGCCUCGAGAAGAAGAGAUGCGGAGGUAGAGCACUGAAUGGUCUAGGGGCCUUCACCGGUUACCAAAACCUAUCAAACUCCGAAUGCCGUCAUCUUAAGCUCGGGAGUCAGACUGCGAGUGAUAAGAUCCGUAGUCAAGAGGGAAACAGCCCAGACCAUCAGCUAAGGUCCCAAAGUAUACGUUAAGUGGAAAAGGAUGUGGAGUUGCACAGACAACCAGGAUGUUGGCUUAGAAGCAGCCACUCAUUUAAAGAGUGCGUAAUAGCUCACUGGUCGAGUGAUUCUGCGCCGAAAAUUACCGGGGCUCAAACGUAUCACCGAAGCUAUGGGAGUUAGAGGUAAGAAGUGAGAAGUUAGAAGUCGGAAAAGAGAAAGAAAAAACAAAAGCUAGGAGAAGAAGAAAUGAUAAAAACCUACAAAGAUUUAGAAGUUUAUCAAAUCUCAUAUAAACUAGCAUUAAUAGUCCAUCAGAUGACAGAGCAAUUUCCUAAAUAUGAAACCUAUGAAAUAGGAAGUCAACUUAGAAGGGCAGCACUGUCAAUUCCGUUAAAUAUUGCAGAGGGAUAUGGAAAAAAAGAAUCUGCAAAAGAAUUCAAACGUUUUUUAAAUAUGACAUUAGGCUCGUGUAAUGAAAUAUAUGUACUUCUUGAUAUGAUAAAAGAUUUAGAGUAUAUAGAAAAAGAUAAAUACGAAGAGCUAGUAAAAUCAUAUGAAAUGUUAGGGAAACGGAUAUAUGUAUUAAUGAAAAGAUGGCAAUAAGGUUUUAACAAACCUCUAACCUCUGACUUCUUACCUCUAACUCGGUAGGCGAGCAUUCUGUAAAGGCAGAAGCUAAACCGGAAGGAUUAGUGGACAUUACAGAAGAGAGAAUGUUGGCAUGAGUAGCGAGAGGCAGGUGAGAAUCCUGCCCGUCGAAAACCUAAGGAUUCCUGAGGAAGGCUCGUCCGCUCAGGGUAAGUCGGGACCUAAGCCGAGGCCGAAGGGCGUAGGCGAUGGACAACAGGUUGAGAUUCCUGUACCACCGGAUAUCGUUAGAGAGAAGGGGUGACACAGAAGGAUAGGUCAAGCGCACCGUUGGUUGAGUGCGUCUAAGCAGGUAGGGAGUUAAGAAAGGCAAAUCCGUCUUAACAAAUCCUGAGAAGUGAUGGGGAGCGAAAUAAAGUAGCGAACUGACUGAUUCCACACUGGCAAGAAAAGCCUCUAUCGAGAUAAAAGGUGCCCGUACCGCAAACCGACACAGGUAGGUGAGGAGAGAAUCCUAAGACGAACGGGAAAACUAUUGUUAAGGAACUCGGCAAAAUGACCCCGUAACUUCGGGAGAAGGGGUGCCAGAAUUGGUGAAGGACAUGCUCCGUAAGCCAAAACUGGCCGCAGAGAAUAGGCCCAAGCGACUGUUUAGCAAAAACAUAGGUCUCUGCAAAGUCGAAAGACGAAGUAUAGGGGCUGACGCCUGCCCGGUGCUGGAAGGUUAAGGGGAAGUGUAAGGGAAACCAAAGCACAGAACUUAAGCCCCAGUAAACGGCGGCCGUAACUAUAACGGUCCUAAGGUAGCGAAAUUCCUUGUCGGGUAAGUUCCGACCCGCACGAAAGGCGUAACGAUUUGGGCGCUGUCUCAACAAUAGACCCGGUGAAAUUGUAAUACCAGUGAAGAUGCUGGUUACCCGCGACAGGACGGAAAGACCCCGUGGAGCUUUACUGUAGCCUGACAUUGGAUUUUGGUACUACAUGUACAGGAUAGGUGGGAGACUAAGAAACCAGUACGCCAGUAUUGGAGGAGUCGCUGUUGGGAUACCACUCUUGUAGUAUUGAAGUUCUAACCAUGGGCCGUGAAACCGGUCUUGGGACACUGUCAGGUGGGCAGUUUGACUGGGGCGGUCGCCUCCCAAAAAGUAACGGAGGCGCCCAAAGGUUCCCUCAGCACGGUCGGAAAUCGUGCGAAGAGUGCAAAGGCAAAAGGGAGCUUGAUUGCGAGACAAACAGGUCGAGCAAGGACGAAAGUCGGGCUUAGUGAUCCGGUGGUUCCGAGUGGAAGGGCCAUCGCUCAACGGAUAAAAGCUACCCCGGGGAUAACAGGCUUAUCUCCCCCAAGAGUCCACAUCGACGGGGAGGUUUGGCACCUCGAUGUCGGCUCAUCACAUCCUGGGGCUGAAGUAGGUCCCAAGGGUUGGGCUGUUCGCCCAUUAAAGUGGUACGCGAGCUGGGUUCAGAACGUCGUGAGACAGUUCGGUCCCUAUCCGUCGCGGGCGCAGGAAAUUUGAGAGGAGCUGUCCUUAGUACGAGAGGACCGGGAUGGACAUACCACUGGUGUACCAGUUGUCUUGCCAAAGGCAUCGCUGGGUAGCUAAGUAUGGCAGGGAUAAGUGCUGAAGGCAUCUAAGCACGAAGCCCCCCUCAAGAUAAGAUUUCCCAUCCGAAAGGAGUAAGACCCCAGAGAGACUAUCUGGUUGAUAGGUCAGAGGUGUAAGUGCAGUAAUGUACUAAGCUGACCGAUACUAAUAGGUCGAGGGCUUGACCAAUAAAAC
rnacentral:rRNA from 1 species